GAUGAACGCUGGCGGCAUGCCUAAUACAUGCAAGUCGAGCGGCCAGACGAGGAGCUUGCUCCUCUGACGUUAGCGACGGACGGGCGAGUAACACGUAGAUCACCUUCCUCUUAGACUUGGAGGACUUCGGGAAGCCGCUGAUGAUACCAGAUAAUAUAUUGAACCGCUGGGUGCAAUAGUGCAUGACGGUUUUGCUGUCACUUAUAGAUGAAUCCGGGCCGCAUUAGCUAGUUGGUAAGGUAACGGCUUACCAAGGCAACGAUGCGUAGCUGAUCUGAGAGGAUGAUCAGCCACACUGGAACUGAGACACGGUCCAGACUCCUACGGGAGGCAGCAGUAGGGAAUCUUCCACAAUGGGCGAAAGCCUGAUCCAGCAACACCGCGUGGGUGAUGAAGGCCUUCGGAUCGUAAAACUCUGUUAUUAGGGAAGAACAAAUGUGUAAUAAACUCUGCCCGUCUUGACGGUACCCAAUCAGAAAGCCACGGCUAACUACGUG
rnacentral:rRNA from 1 species